rnacentral:tRNA from 1 species
GCUCUCGUCGUCUAAAGGAUAUGACAUCGGCCUCCGAAGCCGAAAAUCCAGGUUCAAUUCCUGGCGAGAGCA